AUUGAACGCUGGCGGCAGGCUUAACACAUGCAAGUCGAGCGAGCGGCGGACGGGUGAGUAAUGUCUGGGAAACUGCCUGAUGGAGGGGUAUAACUACGGGAAACGGUAGCAAAUACCGCAUACCCUGAGAUGCGCCCAGAUGGGAUUAGCUUGUAGGUGGGGUAAUGGCUCACCUAGGCGACGAUCCCUAGCUGGUCUGAGAGGAGGACCAGCCACACUGGAACUGAGACACGGUCCAGACUCCUACGGGAGGCAGCAGUGGGGAAUAUUGCACAAUGGGCGCAAGCCUGAUGUAGCCAUGCCGCGUGUGUGAAGAAGGCCUUCGGGUUGUAAAGCACUUUCAGCGGGGAGGCGUUACUCGCAGAAGAAGCACCGGCUAACUCCGUGCCAGCAGCCGCGGUAAUAC
rnacentral:rRNA from 1 species